CGGCGGGGACGACCCCGCCUUGCCAUGGGUUCACUGGGGACGGCCCCG
rnacentral:ncRNA from 1 species